CUGUGAUACGUGAAGCAUUACAGAGGAGAUAGAGAGAGAGAACGAAAAGGGCAGAGAGGAGGAGCUUCCAAUCCACCCCCGACUCGCCGCUGCCGCUGUCCCGCCAUACUCCAGCAGAUUGAAGGAAAAGAGCACAGAAGUUGAUGACAUAACUUGUGUCCACCAUGGCUUUGUUAACGAAGAUGCGGUUAAGAAGACAUAUUCCUGAUUGUUUCUGUAGGUGCUGAUGGCUCCUGGACCUUGUUUACAGAGGUCCCUUGAAAUAAUUAUCUCCUAUUUAACAAACAAUUCUAUGGAUUGGAAAACCAAA